CGGAGGAUCCAAGCGUUAUCCGGAAUCAUUGGGUUUAAAGGGUCCGUAGGCGGUUUAGUAAGUCAGUGGUGAAAGCCCAUCGCUCAACGGUGGAACGGCCAUUGAUACUGCUAGACUUGAAUUAUUAGGAAGUAACUAGAAUAUGUAGUGUAGCGGUGAAAUGCUUAGAGAUUACAUGGAAUACCAAUUGCGAAGGCAGGUUACUACUAAUGGAUUGACGCUGAUGGACGAAAGCGUGGGUAGCGAACAGGAUUAGAUACCCUGGUAGUCCACGCCGUAAACGAUGGAUACUAGCUGUUGGGAGCGAUCUCAGUGGCUAAGCGAAAGUGAUAAGUAUCCCACCUGGGGAGUACGUUCGCAGGAAUG
rnacentral:rRNA from 1 species